rnacentral:misc_RNA from 1 species
GAUGAAGAACGUAGUGAAAUGCGAUACGUAAUGUGAAUUGCAGAAUUCAGUGAAUCAUCGAAUCUUUGAACGCACAUUGCGCCCGCCAGUAUUCUGGCGGGCAUGCCUGUUCGAGCGUCAUUUCAACCAUCAAGCCCCCGGCUUGUGUUGGGGACCUGCGGCUGCCGCAGGCCCUGAAAAGCAGUGGCGGGCUCGCUGUCACACCGAGCGUAGUAGCAUACAUCUCGCUCUGGGCGUGCUGCGGGUUCCGGCCGUUAAACCACCUUCAUAACCCAAGGUUGACCUCGGAUCAGGUAGGAAGACCCGCUGAACUUAAGCAUAUCAAUAAGCGGAGGA